rnacentral:tRNA from 1 species
GUCCCGGUAUCCCAAUCGGCAGAGGAACGGAGCUCAAACCUCCGACAGUGUGGGUUCGAAUCCCACCCGGGGCACCA